GAGCCUGUUUCCUCACUUGUAAAAUAGGCGGGGUAAUGACCACAUGGCAGGCUUACUAGGAGCAUUAAAAGAGGUGCUUGGCAGGUUUUUGUCUUAACUACACCUUCUCAGUUGCUGCCACCAACUUUAUAAACUAUCAGAAUCUUUGCACUAGGACCAUUUUCAGAGAAGAUGCUGCAGAGGAAGUUUGGCACCCAGGGGAUGAAUCAUGAAGAGUUUAACCAAGUACUAGCAGUCAUCUUUCCAUGU